rnacentral:lncRNA from 1 species
CUCUGGCUCUCCUCUGGACUGAACAUCCAAUGCUCUGCUAAUCCCUAUGACAGCUACAUAAUUCAAAUUUGUGUCUGCUGGCAAAUUAAUAGGAAUUCUGAUUAAAGGAAAUCCUUGACUCCUAUAGGUUAGAUUCAAGAGAUAUCUUUACUACAUAGUGAGUGGGAAAGUUAUGGACUAGAAAGAGGACCACAGUUUAGAUGACCCAAAAUUAUUGAAAUUCUCUAGCCACAGGCACUCCAACAAAACCAAGCCUUUUGGCUCAGGAUGGCAUCGGAGAAGUAUACAUGGGUGUCCGACAUCACAGAAAUUUGAUGAAAGUUACUGAAGAUGGGAAUGGUAGACAAGUAACUACAGUAACUGCCAGAAAGAUGCGCAGGAGAAUUCUAGAGGUGGAGCCAAGAUGGUGGAGUAGAAGGCAGCAAAAAGGAAGCACUAUGAGAAUCCUCUCCAACAAAACCUAAAAUAAGACCUAAAAAUGACGACUGGAGAAAAGAAACAAGAGGAAGAAAUAAAGUAACGUUCAUGCACA